rnacentral:misc_RNA from 1 species
AAUUUCAAAUUGGCGAGAGGGGCGUAAGACUUUGAGAGUCGCCUCUGUCGCAAUGUCAUAUGAGCUUUCGGUUUGAUCUCCUCAACUUCAUUCUCCGAUUCCCUCUCAUCAGAGGCAUCGUUUGAACUUUCGGUUAAAUCUUCUUGUUCUUCUUCGUCAUCACUGAAGAUGAAGCUGUCUCUUUGGACCAGUUGAGUAAAAUCACCCAGAAUUUAGGAUUUUCCACUGACGUACCUGCCAGGUGCUAAGUCCUGUAGUACCCUGUGAGAUGAUGUGCACAGACUCUUGGAGAUUCACUAUUUCCUUGUUGGGCUAGAAUACACAUAAGUUAUAUUUCUUCAAACAAAUUAACAAACUACCAUUACAUAGCUUUUUUAAAGCCACAUGUAUAAAUAAAUCUCAUUUCCUUACUAAAGCACCAAUCUUAUCAAAUGUUUUUGUGCUAUAAUCUAUAGUUUGCCAAUAAGAUAAUAUGCAGCAAGUUGCCAACCAUUCUUAAUUUUCAGGGGAAAAACCACCUAAAGUACAGGCAGGAUGGACUUUGUGAAAGAAGAAUAAAUGGAGAGAACGAAAGCCAGUGCUUCUCAUAAAUAUGAGUUUUCCCCCUCACCAAGAAGUAUGACUUGUAACAGAGACUGUCCUCUUCUUCUUCCGUUUCCUGAAGAAGAUCGGUGUACAACUCGUAGAUCUCAUCACAGAGCUCAACGUCACUGUCCUCAAGCUGAAACAUGCCUUUUCAAAGCAAAAUGAAAGGAUCGUAUGAAUGUAUAAUGCAUACUCCCCACUGGAUCCGUCUAACAGGAACCAUUUGAAAGAACUGCGUCGAAAUAAGAUAUUGGUCGAUUAGGCCGAGACCUUAAAACUGACCAAUGAAAUUUGUCGUUUUAUAACGUGAAGGAAUUUGUCGGCGUCGUAUAAACCUUUUUUGCUUUGAAAAUGGUCCGAAGUCAAAGCAAAAGUAGGGAAAGGAAGAAGAGCGGAUCAGAGCGGGGGAGGGAGAGAAAGAGGAAAAAUUCCUCCAGCAGUGGAUCUGGGUCCUCUAGUUCCUCACGUUCCCGAAGUAGAUCUGGUUCCUCCUCCUCCAGCAGCAGUUCCAGUGGAAGUUCCAACAGCAGCUCCUCUAGGUCUGGAAGUUCCAGUUCUAGUCGUUCGUCUUCAAGUGCAAGUGAGAAGGGGCGGGGAGGGAAAGCCUCCAAAAGGCAGCAGUCAGAUUCUCCAAAGAGAAGAAAGAAGAGUCCAGAGCCAAAGCCAACAAAAGUUCACGUUGGGAAGCUGACUCGGAAUGUAAACAAGGAUCACAUUAUGGAGAUAUUCUCCAACUAUGGCAGCGUAAAGAACAUAGAUAUGCCAAUGGACAGAGUGCAUUCAAACUUUAGUAAAUUAUUUGCAUAUAUUGAGUAUGAAUCGCCUGAGGAAGCGGAGAAGGCUGUGAAGUAUAUGGAUGGAGGACAAAUUGAUGGACAAGAAAUAUCAGCAAGUGCAGUGCUGGCAGCUAGACCUGUACGGGCACCUCAACGUCGGAGUCCACCCCGCAGAGGGCCACCAGCUAGAUGGGGACGACCUGCCUCGCCACGAUACAGAGACAGGCGAAGGACACCCCCUCCAAGAAGAAGAAGCCCCCCACCCAGAAGACGCUCUAGAUCAAGGUCGCGGUCCCCUGCCAAGAGGCGGCGAUACAGCCGGUCAAGCUCGAGUUCAUCACGUUGAAGAUUUUUUUUGUGUUUGUCUUACAUUUCGCAGAUUACAAAUUCUCAUCACCGUGAAAGUUGCAAGCUUUCAAUUCGACAUUUAAUGUAUUCUGUACUUGGUGUACUUUGAAAAUGAGCUACAACAAAGUUUGAGAAUUUUCAUGAACCACCAAUUUUGUGGUGUGUAAUAGUUCAUUUUUAUGAUUUUAGCAAGUAUAUACCAUUAUUGCACAUUAUCAUUGAAAAUUCAUUUGAAUAAAGUUUAUCAUCUUU